GCAUCACGAGGGUUAAACUGUCUCCUUUCUCCAAUCAAUUAAACUGAUCUUCCCGUGAAGAAGCGGGAAUAAAUAUAUAAGACGAGAAGACCCCAUGGAGCUUUAAACCCAGUUACACCUCUACUUCCUAUUUCAUUAUAACCUUUAGAAUCCUGUUUAUCUGGUUUUAGGUUGGGGUGACCGCGGAGCAUAAACUAGCCUCCACGAUGAACGGGACUAUUUCCCUCAUCUAAGAAUUACACUUCUAAGAAUUAGUAUUCUAACAUAAAAUGAUCCGAUACUCGAUCAACGAACCAAGUUACCCUGGGGAUAACAG
rnacentral:rRNA from 1 species